CAUGUAAUAAACGGAUCGGACCCGGGGGCGGUACCCGGCGUCUCCACCAUAUAUCCCUUGUUGGGGGAUCUUGGGGACGAAACAGGAUCGACGAACGCGUAAAGAUGUAGCUUUGUCCCGGUGAGAUACCACCGUUAUCGGUUCGCUAAGUACAAUUGCCAACAACAAUCGUGCUCCGGUUGCUCUGGCUGCGUAAGCAGUCCGAAAGACCGAAAUCUAAGCCCUUGCGCCUAGCCGCGUAAGGCGGGGUUCGCAGGCACCUGGCA
rnacentral:tmRNA from 14 species